GACCAAGAUGGAUUUUCAGCCUGGAUGCAUUGGCGGAGAUUCUGCUCAGUGGCAGGGGCCCAGACCAAGUGCUCUCCCAAAAGCCCUUCCAGACUUGCAUUCAGCAACCCCAUGAGGAUCACCAAAAGUCCCCACCAGGGACCCAGAUUCAGCUGCAGAGUCACAGACCUAUGGCUGCACCGGCCAAAUUCAUGGAUCUUUCCUGUCUGUGUUGUCUCUGACUCACCUGGCACAGAUCACUCAUAGCUGUGAGGCUGGGUACACCACGCACCUGGUACCCAUCAUGAUGGGUAAUGAUGCUAGCCUGGAUCCCAGGCCGUCAGCAUUCUGGCUCACAGGCCCGAUGACAGGACAGUGGCACACACCACACGUUUCUCCUUCCUUUCUCCCAAGAUCCUCAGGCAAGAUUCCAGCCUUGGAAAUAUGACCUUCCCUUGUACAGGAUCUUGAAGUUAGGGGAUUACAGGUGGAAACUGAACCCACACUUCCAUCUGGGAGAGGCCUUUCGUUCUAAAACUACAUCAGAACUCAAGUGAGGAGCUUCUAUUCACCAAACUGGAUGUUCACCUCCUAGAGAUCAGCUCCUGGGGCGGUGGACACUUAAAUCAGCAAGCAGAUGCAUGGAAAGAAAAGAGACCCAAGCAAUUGCUCAAAUAUCUCAUUGUGGAUACAGAUGGGCAGUUCUUCAGGGACCUCAAAUAGCCAAAGGAAAAGCCCAGUACAUUCUCCAAUACUUUGCCCCGUCUCGCCCCCACCUGCUGGUGCAGCACCAUUUGCCACGGCCUGUGAGGUCAUCUCUGCAAGGCGUGCUGUUUCCUCCAGCUCCUUGGCUCUCUGGCUGCGACUCAGUGUUUAUGAUCGCACCAACGUGUGAGGAACGCGGUGUCGAAGAACAAGGCCCAGGCUGGCACCAAGAGCCAUGGGAUUGUUUUCUCCAGACAGAUGACUUUUUCCUGUUAGCUUCACAGGAGAUUUAG
rnacentral:lncRNA from 12 species